GGGGAUAUAACUCAGUUGAUAGAGCACUUGCCUCACAUGCACAAGGUUCUGGGUUUAAUCCCCAGCACCACCA
rnacentral:tRNA from 1 species